UGCAAGUCGAACGGUGGUAGCAAUACCAUAGUGGCGCACGGGUGCGUAACACGUAACUAACCUACCUAUAACUGGGGGAUAGCCCGCCGAAAGGCGGAUUAAUACCGCAUAAGCUCUUUGACUGGCAUCAGUUGAUUAGUAAAGAUUUAUUGGUUCUAGAUGGGGUUGCGGGUCAUUAGCUAGUUGGUUGGGUAAUGGCUGACCAAGGCGACGAUGACUAGGGGAGCUGAGAGGCUGGUCCCCCACACGGGCACUGAGAUACGGGCCCGACUCCUACGGGAGGCAGCAGUAGGGAAUAUUGGGCAAUGGACGAGAGUCUGACCCAGCCAUGCCGCGUGCAGGAAGAAGGCUUUCUGAGUCGUAAACUGCUUUUGACAGGGAAGAAUAAGGUGUACGUGUACACUGAUGACGGUACCUGCAGAAUAAGCACCGGCUAACUCCGUGCCAGCAGCCGCGGUAAUACGGAGGGUGCGAGCGUUGUCCGGAUUUAUUGGGUUUAAAGGGUGCGUAGGCGGCCGUUUAAGUCUGGGGUGAAAGCCCGCUGCUCAACAGCGGAACUGCCCUGGAUACUGGAUGGCUUGAGUACAGACGAGGUUGGCGGAAUGGACAGAGUAGCGGUGAAAUGCAUAGAUACUGUCCAGGACCCCGAUUGCGAAGGCAGCUGACUAGGCUGUUACUGACGCUGAGGCACGAAAGCGUGGGGAGCGAACAGGAUUAGAUACCCUGGUAGUCCACGCCGUAAACGAUGGAUACUCGCUGCGAGCUAAAGAUUGUUCGUGGCUUAGGGAAACCGAUAAGUAUCCCACCUGGGGAGUACGCUCGCAAG
rnacentral:rRNA from 1 species